rnacentral:rRNA from 1 species
GAUGAACGCUGGCGGCGUGCCUAACACAUGCAAGUCGAACGGACUUUACAUGAAGCCUAGCGAUUGUAAAGUUAGUGGCGGACGGGUGAGUAACGCGUGGGUAACCUGCCGUAUACAGGGGGAUAACACUUAGAAAUAGGUGCUAAUACCGCAUAAGCGCACAGUAUCGCAUGAUACAGUGUGAAAAACUCCGGUGGUAUACGAUGGACCCGCGUCUGAUUAGCUAGUUGGUGAGGUAACGGCUCACCAAGGCGACGAUCAGUAGCCGGCCUGAGAGGGUGAACGGCCACAUUGGAACUGAGACACGGUCCAAACUCCUACGGGAGGCAGCAGUGGGGAAUAUUGGACAAUGGGGGCAACCCUGAUCCAGCGAUGCCGCGUGAGGGAAGAAGGUUUUCGGAUUGUAAACCUCUGUGGACAGGGACGAUAAUGACGGUACCUGUUUAGAAAGCCACGGCUAACUACGUG